AAGUAUUUGUGUGGACUCAAAAAAAUGGCAUUUCUGCUGUUCAGAAGUCGAGGCACGGCUUUUCUGUCCCAGUGCAUGUUCAAAAUAAAACUUGGGGCCAUCUACACAAAGUACAGUGUGAGCUGGAGGAGUGCAGACAUUAUCACUUUUUGGCAGUUAGAAGUGGUCUGUCAUUCAGGCACUGUGAGCACAUCCGCUCACUACAAUACUGUACUAAGACUGUUAAAGAAGAAAGACUUCAAGAAAAUGUUUUGGAGGAAAUGGUGCAGCUUAAUUUAAGGAUGAUGUUUCCAUGAGAGAUCACAUCAUUAUUCCUAUUUGGAAACCUGGACACUUCCUCUUGUCUAAAUCUUUGCCAGGAUGUAAAUCCUGGGACAUGGACAGAGAGGGUUGGAACACACCUAGAGGGUUUAUCUAGAUAGUCAUUUGGGAGUGACUGUGGCAUUUUCAUGUUGAUGCUAUGGGAAAGUCUUCGUCCACUGGACUGAUGCUUCAAAAGCUCUGCUACGUGGUGAGGUGCCACCAGUCUUCCGUCUGAAGAAACAGAAACUGGAUGAUACUGCCGAGGACGAAGAGCACCCACAGCCUCUGCAAAUUACAUCUCCACUCCAAAAAGAUGUUCAGACAAAAGAGGAAGUGACCAGCAUAGAGGAAAAAAUUUUCCAAGACUGCAAAAAAAGCUGCAGAAUGGGUUCAGGAAAAUCCACAUUUAUUUGCUGCAACUGUUGAGCUGCCUGACAUCCUGCAGAUGGGACAAGAGAUGCAGAAGGAGUCUGUGAAGCAGUUUGUUAGCCUUUCAUCUGACGGAUCGGGUCAGCUUAGCGAGGACGACAAGGAACACAUCUUGGAGCCAUUCAAGUUUAUAUUUCAAGUAGUGGAAGAUGUGGAUAUUUUGUGAAGAGAUAAUGGACAAAAGAGGAUACCUGGCAUAUUGUGAAUGCAGGAUUGAGGACCAAUAGAUGGGCACUCUUUUUUAUAUGGUGGAAAAAAAUAAAACUAUGCUGCAUUAAAAUGUAAAUAUAUGUAUAAUAUGUAUAUAUUAGAGUUGUGUAUAUAUAGGUUUUUGAAUAAGUGUUAGUAGAAAUGUUUCUAAAAUAUG